rnacentral:rRNA from 1 species
UCUGAAUGGGGCAACCCACUUAGUUGAAGACUAAGUAUCCAGCAAUGGAGGCAAACGCAGGGAACUGAAACAUCUUAGUACCUGCAGGAGAAGAAAAUAAUAAUGAUUCCCUUAGUAGCGGCGAGCGAAAUGGGAAGAGCCCAAACCAUCUAUGUUUAGGCAUAGAUGGGGUUGUAGGACUCACAUAACGGUAUAUAAAUUGAAGUGGAAUCAAUUGGAAAGUUGAGCCAUAGAGGGUGACAGCCCCUUACACGUAAGCUUUAUAUAUUAGUGAGUAUCCUGAGUAGUGCGGGACACGAGAAAUCCUGUAUGAAUCUGCCGGGACCAUCCGGUAAGGCUAAAUACUCCUGAGAGACCGA